UGAUUGAUAUCCAUUGGUACCAGGCUAACGAUAUCAUAAGUAACACGUUAGACUUGAAAUCUAAUGCCUUCGGGCGCGCAGGUUCGAAUCCUGUUCGGUUAG